UGUCCUUCUCAUCUAGGGAUAAAAUGUUCCGCUGGCCCUUUAAGAAGCAGGAAUGUGAGUUCCCGUUCUGCCCAGGAGUAUCGCGAGAGUUCACCUGCGAGCAGCGCGAUUUACAACGCGAUGCAGGUGCUUCUUAUGAAGUUUGAGAACCGGGAAGUUCUUGUGCAUGAAGCAAGACUUUAAGUUUAAAGUCACAAUGGAGCCACUGAGCAGUGAGACUAAGCGUACUCGUCAGGCUUACAUCUGAAGACCAAACAUCUGUUGUGAAGUUCAUCGCGGAGUGGUUAUGAAGGAGCUCGUGAAUAUGAUCUGUCAUACGGUUGUAUAACUCCGAAAUCAACUCUGAUAGUGUCACCCCUUUGGUGGAACGCACCAUUAGGAGUGACUGACCUAGAUCAGACUGAGCGACUUUCCAGUAUCGGCAGAAGAUGGUCGGUGAGGAUGCAUCAUCUUCAGUCCUGGAUUUGUUCACUCGUUUCCUUGCUGUAUCUGGAUUGAUCGACCAGGAUUUCUCCAUGAUGUUUGCUGACGAAGUGUCUCAGAAGUUCCUGGCAAAGUGGUGAACAUUCUUCAAGCCAAAAAUCAUUGCAGACUGCAAGACUCUUAAGAAUAUGGGCGAGCUGCUGUCAGGAACUGAACCUGAAUCUGAGGAUUACAAUGGUCAGUAUAAACUGUUUUGUAUUUUAAAAAUGUUCCAGUCUUUAAAAAAAUAAUUAAAGAGAGAUUGCUGCAGCGAGAUUAACAGCCUUGAAGAUGUUCACAUGUUUUGUAUGUAAAUCACACCUCAGAACUUGUUUGGUUCUUUGUCAACAUUUAAAAUUUCAACAUGGUUUAUAUCCUAGCAAAAAGUUACAUUUAAAAUGUGGAGAGCCAGGUUGCCCUUUAUCAUUUUGUACGUAUAGUGGCUUCCGAAAUCACCUCAGCAAAGUACAUAGUCACACUAUUGAUCAAGAGAUUGAUACUAAUCAGGAUCUUUCCACUCGGGGAAAAUAUGAGGCGGAAUGCUCAAAUGAUCGCCCAAAUUCUGUUGCCACUUUACAUCCUUCACAAAGUCCUGUUGUUACAAGUCAGCUUCAAUGUAUGGCUCAAUUGUUGCUCAUUUGCAAGCAUCAGGUCUUUCUGAAAGUGCUGUCCAAACAAUUGUUUGUUCAAUGGAAGAAGUUGUUAAUGAUGUUAAAAUCCAAGCAUGAGAUGCAGUUCUUAAAACUGUUACUCCUGAAAGUACAAGUUCAGACACUUGUAGAAGAAUAAAUCACUGUUUUGAUCAAUUAGGUAACCUUUUUCAGCAUUAGACACUGUGUCAAGGAGACAUAAAUAUUAUGAUGAGAAAUGGGAAAUAGUUCUUGGGGUGAGAAUGGAUUUGCGCAGAGAUAGAACUACAGGCAGGUUCCUGUAACGGACAAGUGCAUGUAUGUACCCAUUCUGGGUACACUGAAAUCCAUAUUCAUUCAUUUACAGGACAAACAGAGUGGAAUUGGAGUUUACAAAGACAUUAAUGAUGGGUCGUAAUUUCCAAAACCAUACACUGUUCUCACAGCAAAAGCACGCUUUUCAGAUUCUACUCUAUUACAACGAUUUUGAAACUUCUAACCCUCUAGGUUCCAAGAGGGGGAUCCACAAACUUGGUUGUA